rnacentral:misc_RNA from 1 species
AAGUCGUAACAAGGUUUCCGUAGGUGAACCUGCGGAAGGAUCAUUACAAAUAAAGCUGGUAGGAAGUAGGGGUCUUUAGAUCUGUAAGUGGUACGAGCGGAACAGUCCGGCUGCCUCCCGAAAUGUCUUACAUGUCCCCCAACAGCCUGAAUGGCCGAAUUGACUAAGCCCUUGAUUAUCUACACUUGUUGCUUUCGGGGUCUCAAGUGCCCCAGAGGACCCUAACUCUCUUAGCCAUUUAAGUGACGUCUUGAGUACUAUAUAAGUAUUUAAAA